GGGGAUGACCGGCUUUGACAGCAAGGUAAAUAAAAUAAUAAGCAUGUCGAGCAUUGUUAUACUCUCUCGUAAAAAAAGUAUACAAAAUUUUAAAUGGCGAGUCUAACUACGCUUUAGCUGCUUAAUUAUAUAUUAAAUAGCUUUUGUUCCGGAUUCAGGUCUGUUCAACACCUGAAACCAGGAGCAUCAUUAAGUUGAACUAGCUUUUAUUGUUCCUGGAUAUAAAAGUAAAUCAAUACAGGAUAAGAUAGGUUUUGGUUGUGUUAUACCGGAAUUUAUUCGACAAUCAAAUAAUACUAAACAUGUAGAAAAUUAUUUAGUUUCUUGUUUGGACCAGGGUUCGAUUCCCUGCAUCUCCACAA
rnacentral:tmRNA from 1 species